rnacentral:rRNA from 1 species
CUAAGAAUAUUCCGCAAUGGACGGAAGUCUGACGGAGCGACGCCGCGUGGAUGACGAAGGCCGAAAGGUUGUAAAGUUCUUUUGCUGGGGAAGAAUAACCGCAGGAGGGAAUGCCUGUGGGAUGACAAGAACCGGCGAAUAAGCCCCGGCCAACUACGUGCCAGCAGCCGCGGUAACACGUAGGGGGCGAGCGUUGUUCGGAAUUACUGGGCGUAAAGGGCAUGUAGGCGGCUUGGAAAGCCUGGCGUGAAAGUCUGCAGCUUAACUGCAGGGGUGCGCUGGGAACUGCUGAGCUUGAGUGACGGAGAGGGAGCUGGAAUUCCUGGUGUAGGGGUGAAAUCUGUAGAUAUCAGGAAGAACACCGAUGGCGAAGGCAAGCUCCUGGCCGAUGACUGACGCUGAGGUGCGAAAGUGUGGGGAUCAAACAGGAUUAGAUACCCUGGUAGUCCACACAGUCAACGAUGUGCACUAGGUGCUGGGGCGGUAGCUUCGGUGCCGGAGCGAACGUGGUAAGUGCACCGCCUGGGGAGUAUGCUCGCAAGGGUGAACUCAAGGAAUUGACGGGGGUCAUAGCUG